rnacentral:lncRNA from 1 species
AUUGUUGUGUGGUUAUAAAAUGGUUUGCAUUUAUUAUGUAUUUAUUACGAUGUGUAGUUUAAUAUAUUUUGAUUUAAGUUUAUCCCUUCCUAUUGAACUUUAUAUCAGUAAGAUGUAUAAAUCGACCUAAAUUAAGUGCUCCAAGUCCAAGUGAAAUAUUACAUAGCCUAAUUCUGGACAUCUUGCCAAUUUUUCUGGAGGCAGAAAAAUUAAGGAUUUGUAGGAAUGGGUUGGUUACUUCUUGAAGACACUACCAGAAAGCAUGACACAGUAGGAGAUAGGAGAAAUUUGAAAAUUAAUCAUUAGUUAAUUAUAUGGUCAAUGCAGUGGGUGUUAUUGUGUUUAUUGCGCUUUUAUGAAAAAAAGCAAGUAGUCUACAUGCCCUCCUUCUCGUGCAACCUUUCCUGUUUUCUUUUCCAAUUCGGAUCAAGCUGUAGUUAAUAAAGAAUGAAUCCUACUUAAAAAUGCUUAAUCGACAGUAGGCUGAAGUCACUGCACCCCUCGAAGACCAUCACAAACAGCAGCUUGGAUAUUUUGGAUCCGCUUCAGAUACUGUUUAAAUUUGUUUAUCAUUAUAGAAAAAGCAAGCAUUGCGAAAGGAAUACAACGAAGACAG